GGAUAGCUCAGUUGGUUAGAGUGUGGUGCUGAUAAUGCCAAGGUUGCAGGUUCAGUUCCUGUAAGGGGCAGCU
rnacentral:tRNA from 1 species